rnacentral:lncRNA from 1 species
CAAGAAGAGCAGGGGAACCCAGAGGGCUCUUGGAGGGAAGGUCAGAAGCACCAGAAUUGUUUUGACCCAGUGACUUUGAAAUCAAAUAAAAAGGAAUGGCACACACUGUGAAGUGCAGCAUCAAAAUCACAUAGAAUGAGGCUUCGAAAGGCCACCGGACUUUUUGGUGGAGGUUAUGGUGACAUUUGGAGAAAAUUUUCCAUAGAGUUGUUAGGAAAGCACGGGCGAUUUCAAAGAGAGGGAGAGGAGCAGCAAUGACGUGAUGAGGACUUGCGGCUAGCAUGUUCCAAGAGUUUCCUUGUGAAAAGGAAAAAAUCAGGACCUCUGGUACAGCAAGGUCAAAUCAAGGAUUUAAGAAGGCAAGAGCUUCACCUGUGUUUGCUGAGAGCGGAGGGGACUUUGGCGGCGUUGGAUAGACUUGGCACAGACACACAAGCAAAGCAGGGCCGCGACGAUGCCGGGCUGUGCGCACUAGAUGGCAGCAGCGGGGCCCUUUCGGCUCGGUUCGCGGUCCUAUAAGGCGCUGCUUGUUUAAGUACAUCGCAUUUAGUUGAAGCUGCAGGGGAGUGAGGGAGAGGAGGAGAGGAAGGAGGAAAGCGGGAGAGCUCGAGGGACGAGGGGGCUCGGUGUGUUUACACCAGGCACGGGCUACGAGCGUCCAUCCCGGCCCCUGGCUCGCGCUCCCGAAGAGGAGAACAAGGCUGUCCUGGGAUCCGGCCGUCGUGCGGCAGGAGGCUCGUCUGUCCGGGUUGCCGGAGCCGGGAGAGCCCAGAGGGAAACCGAGGGAAACGAGCGGCGCGUUUUACUAGAGAGAGCGCGAGCGGAAGCGGCGAGAGCAGGAGCGCGCGAGGGAGCGUCGAGCGCGGCGGAGACAUGAGGACCUACUGGCUGCACAGCGUCUGGGUGCUGGGCUUUUUCCUGUCCCUCUUCUCACUGCAAGACUCAGCAUGACAAGAAUGGGUAAUCCCAUUUUAUUAAAGUUAAGAGAAAACGAAGAAGUGUACUUCAGAAGUGUCAUGAGAAUCCAAUUAAUCAUCCAAGCAAUCAAAUCAUAGGGCACUGGAAUUAGUAUUAGUGACUGAUGUCCAAAACUGUCCACUUAAGCUCGUCGUGGGCGACAUCUCAGCCAUCUUUGUGUCACCUGGGAAGAUGCAGGUAAUUCUGUCCGAUGUGGAGGAGGCAGUGUGGAUGGGAGGAGUCAGUGCCAGCUCUGCCUGAAAGCUCUGGUGGAAAGGACUCUGCAAUGACUGUACUUUCUAGGGAAGAGUGAGGAGAUUUUAAGAAUUAUUUUUAAAAGCAGCAAAUAAACCUAUCUAAAAUUCCCAGCUUAUUUUGUGAAUGUCCUCAACUUAUUUUGUGAAUGGCCUCCAGUGAAUGACUGGAUUUUAUUCA